UGUGUUACCUGCCUUCAGGUUACUAUAUAGAGGAAGCUGUGUUACCUGCCUUCAGGUUACUAUAUAGAGGAAGCUGUGUUACCUGCCUUCAGGUUACUAUAUAGAGGAAGCUGUGUUACCUGUCCACUGCCUUCAGGUUACUAUAUAGAGGAAGCUGUGUUACCUGCCCACUGCCUUCAGGUUACUAUAUAGAGGAAGCUGUGUCACCUGUCACCUGCCUUCAGGUUACUAUAUAGAGGAAGCUGUGUUACCAGUCCACUGCCUUCAGGUUACUAUAUAGAGGAAGCUGUGUCACCUGUCCACUGCCUUCAGGUUACUAUAUAGAGGAAGCUGUGUUACCUGCCCACUGCCUUCAGGUUACUAUAUAGAGGAAGCUGUGUCACCUGUCCACUGCCUUCAGGUUACUAUAUAGAGGAAGCUGUGUCACCUGUCCACUGCCUUCAGGUUACUAUAUAGAGGAAGCUGUGUUACCUGCCCACUGCCUUCAGGUUACUAUAUAGAGGAAGCUGUGUUACCUGCCCACUGCCUUCAGGUUACUAUAUAGAGGAAGCUGUGUUACCUGCCCACUGCCUUCAGGUUACUAUAUAGAGGAAGCUGUGUUACCUGCCCACUGCCUUCAGGUUACUAUAUAGAGGAAGCUGUGUUACCUGUCCACUGCCUUCAGGUUACUAUAUAGAGGAAGCUGUGUUACCUGCCCACUGCCUUCAGGUUACUAUAUAGAGGAAGCUGUGUCACCUGUCCACUGCCUUCAGGUUACUAUAUAGAGGAAGCUGUGUCACCUGUCCACUGCCUUCAGGUUACUAUAUAGAGGAAGCUGUGUUACCUGCCUUAAGGUUACUAUAUAGAGGAAGCUGUGUUACCUGUUCACUGCCUUCAGGUUACUAUAUAGAGGAAGCUGUGUCACCUGUCCACUGCCUUCAGGUUACUAUAUAGAGGAAGCUGUGUCACCUGUCCACUGCCUUCAGGUUACUAUAUAGAGGAAGCUGUGUUACCUGUCCACUGCCUUCAGGUUACUAUAUAGAGGAAGCUGUGUUACCUGCCCACUGCCUUCAGGUUACUAUAUAGAGGAAGCUGUGUUACCUGUUCACUGCCUUCAGGUUACUAUAUAGAGGAAGCUGUGUUACCUGCCCACUGCCUUCAGGUUACUAUAUAGAGGAAGCUGUGUUACCUGCCCACUGCCUUCAGGUUACUAUAUAGAGGAAGCUGUGUUACCUGCCCACUGCCUUCAGGUUACUAUAUAGAGGAAGCUGUGUUACCUGCCCACUGCCUUCAGGUUACUAUAUAGAGGAAGCUGUGUUACCUGCCUUCAGGUUACUAUAUAGAGGAAGCUGUGUUACCUGUUCACUGCCUUCAGGUUACUAUAUAGAGGAAGCUGUGUUACCUGUCCACUGCCUUCAGGUUACUAUAUAGAGGAAGCUGUGUUACCUGCCCACUGCCUUCAGGUUACUAUAUAGAGGAAGCUGUGUUACCUGCCUUCAGGUUACUAUAUAGAGGAAGCUGUGUUACCUGCCCACUGCCUUCAGGUUACUAUAUAGAGGAAGCUGUGUUACCUGUCCACUGCCUUCAGGUUACUAUAUAGAGGAAGCUGUGUUACCUGCCUUCAGGUUACUAUAUAGAGGAAGCUGUGUUACCUGUCCACUGCCUUCAGGUUACUAUAUAGAGGAAGCUGUGUUACCUGUCCACUGCCUUCAGGUUACUAUAUAGAGGAAGCUGUGUUACCUGUCCACUGCCUUCAGGUUACUAUAUAGAGGAAGCUGUGUUACCUGCCUUCAGGUUACUAUAUAGAGGAAGCUGUGUUACCUGCCUUCAGGUUACUAUAUAGAGGAAGCUGUGUUACCUGUCCACUGCCUUCAGGUUACUAUAUAGAGGAAGCUGUGUUACCUGUCCACUGCCUUCAGGUUACUAUAUAGAGGAAGCUGUGUUACCUGCCUUCAGGUUACUAUAUAGAGGAAGCUGUGUUACCUGCCUUCAGGUUACUAUAUAGAGGAAGCUGUGUUACCUGUCCACUGCCUUCAGGUUACUAUAUAGAGGAAGCUGUGUUACCUGCCUUCAGGUUACUAUAUAGAGGAAGCUGUGUUACCUGCCUUCAGGUUACUAUAUAGAGGAAGCUGUGUUACCUGCCUUCAGGUUACUAUAUAGAGGAAGCUGUGUUACCUGCCUUCAGGUUACUAUAUAGAGGAAGCUGUGUUACCUGCCUUCAGGUUACUAUAUAGAGGAAGCUGUGUUACCUGCCUUCAGGUUACUAUAUAGAGGAAGCUGUGUUACCUGCCUUCAGGUUACUAUAUAGAGGAAGCUGUGUUACCUGCCUUCAGGUUACUAUAUAGAGGAAGCUGUGUUACCUGCCUUCAGGUUACUAUAUAGAGGAAGCUGUGUCACCUGUCCACUGCCUUCAGGUUACUAUAUAGAGGAAGCUGUGUUACCUGCCUUCAGGUUACUAUAUAGAGGAAGCUGUGUCUCCUGUCCACUGCCUUCAGGUUACUAUAUAGAGGAAGCUGUGUUACCUGCCUUCAGGUUACUAUAUAGAGGAAGCUGUGUUACCUGCCUUCAGGUUACUAUAUAGAGGAAGCUGUGUUACCUGCCUUCAGGUUACUAUAUAGAGGAAGCUGAGAAAGCGAGAGUCCUGUUUUUAACCCCUUAGUUGCGUCCCCUCAGCCCUACUUUAUUAACAAUUAUAUUUUGAUGGGCUUCUGGUCCAUGCUCUAACUCAGGUCCUACAGUCUGCAGGUGUGUGUGAGCUGUGUGUAAGACAGGUGUGUAAAGUAAAGUUAUCCGCAUGCUUCCCAUCCAAAACAGUUUGUGAAUAUUUUAUAUUUUCUACUUCGUGUGACGUUUCUGUUACAUUUCGGUGAGGGUUUUUUCGGGCUGUUCGUGUUUUUUUCUCCUGGCAAGCUGAAGUUCAGUAGUCGAAGUGUACGCCCCUUCGUCAGUGAUUGGUCAACAGUACCGAAGUCUACGCCCCCUUCGUCAGUGAUUGGUCAACAGUACCGAAGUCUACGCCCCCUUCGUCAGUGAUUUGUCAACAGUAGGGAUACUUCAAUAAGUGUGUGUGAUUGGUCAACAACAGACUAAUAGUUUUCAUUGAGAAAUAUCUUAGAUUUAAAACCAUUCGACUAACAUCUCGACAAAAAACGUCAAUUUAUGACAGAUUUCUUGAGUUAUCUUUUAGAUUAAUUCUGAUUAUUUUGAGGAAGUUUAUACUGGCUACGGCGUCUCAAGUUGGACAAACAGUACCAUCGCUACUUUUUUUCUUGUUUUUCAAGCGAAAGUCUUUUUAAGGGAGCAUGCGAGUACACUCGUUCAGCCGAACCGAAGCAUGCGAAAGGAUUAACACAGGUGUGUGUGUGUGAGCGUGUAAGACAGGUGUGUGUGUGAGACUGGUUGUUAUCGUCAGUACUGUGAGACUGGUUGUUAUCGUCAGUACUGUGAGACUGGUUGUGUUGUCAGUACUGUAAGACUGGUUGUGUUGUCAGUACUGUAAGACUGGUUGUGUUGUCAGUACUGUGAGACUGGUUGUGUUGUCAGUACUGUGAGACUGGUUGUGUUGUCAGUACUGUGAGACUGGUUGUGUUGUCAGUACUGUGAGACUGGUUGUGUUGUCAGUACUGUGAGACUGGUUGUGUUGUCAGUACUGUGAGACUGGUUGUGUCGUCAGUACUGUGAGACUGGUUGUGUCGUCAGUACUGUGAGACUGGUUGUGUCGUCAGUACUGUGAGACUGGUUGUGUCGUCAGUACUGUGAGACUGGUUGUGUCGUCAGUACUGUGAGACUGGUUGUGUCGUCAGUACUGUGAGACUGGUUGUUAUCGUCAGUACUGUGAGACUGGUUGAGACUGGUUGUUAUCGUCAGUACUGUGAGACUGGUUGUUAUCGUCAGUACUGUAAGACUGGUUGUUAUCGUCAGUACUGUAAGACUGGUUGACACUGGUUGGGGAGAUAAAAUUACACAGUAUAAAGAUAAUCACCUGCCUCCAACCAAAUGAAUUUGAAUUUGGAAUACUUUAGUCCAGGCCAUUUUCUGACUUUGAAGUGACUUUUAUUUUCUUGGUUCUGUGCAGUUGUUAAUCAAACAAAUAUACGUGUGAACGCACAAGUUUUUUUUUUUUUUAGAAGAAAAUGUUGAAUUAUUUUAAGGGUGCCAAUAUUAUACUGUGGUUCUCGGAUCUCUGUGGUCAUUAGACCAACAGCUGUUCAGAAUGAAAUAAAGAUGUACAAACUA